UCCGGGGCUUGUCCAAUGGGCGGGCGGCUUACGUCGCGCGCGGCCAGAUGCCGAUUAGCCCCGCGCGGCCAAUGGGAGGCGCGCUUACAUCGCAAGAAGCCUCGCGCUGAUUACACGCAGGAAUGUAAACUAUUCAACAUGGCCGCCGCGAUGGCCAGCCGAGGCGGUGAUCCGGAUCAUUGGUCAUCAUCGCUACUUCACGACGCCUUCCUGCGUUUCCUCCCUGACAAAGCACCUCCCAUUAAUUUACAAUUAUGCCAUAAUCACGUAAAAUAAACGUUACAAUUUUACUUAUAUGUCUUCAGGAGGUUUAAAUGCAAUGUUUCGAGAAAAUAUUGCAAUCGUCCGUUAAUUUUACCAUAAUUUUCUUUUUAAAGUGUGGCUGUUUUGAAUAAUCAACUUUUUCCAAUGGGAAUGGCAUUUUAAUGGCUUACUAUAAGUAUUCUGUUGUUACAUGACAAGUGUGCAGCACAUAAAGAGGAGAGAUCUUUGGUGGGGUCACAUAGGUACCACCUUCGCGAGUUCAAUUCAUUUUAAUAAAUAAAAACAUUGUAGUAAGUAUCCGUUAGGAUUGACGUUUUCCUUAUCUCUCUGAAGGGUUCUCAGAGGUUGUCUUGGAUGUUGUUUGCCGUGACGUCCAAAGUUGUUGCUGCAUGUGCCGGGAGCUUCUGCAGGGAACCGAGUUUUGAGUUCGUGAAGAAGUUCCCAGCACGAAGAGAGCAAAAAUGCCGAACAUGUUGAACAACACGCGGCACAACCCUGAAACGCUUCAGAAAGCUAGACAGCGCAACUGUGACACCUAUAAUGUUACUUGUCUUAGGCCGAAAGUCAGAUUCUUCAAUAGGAGAUUUCACAGUGGAUUUCGUAUCAUCAUUACAACACUCACUUUUUCGACGGAAGCUCAGCGUCCCCCCGCUGUCCUUUUUAUAUUGUGCUACUGUGUCCUCUGCGAAGUAGUGCAAUGUGAAAAGGGCAUUGGGGAGUCGCGCCUUUCGCCUGGACUCAUCCACUGCUGCCUUGGUCGUGUGGCAACUUGCAAGCCCCUGCUGGAGGCUCUGACACCAUUGCACUACUGUACGCAAUGGUGAGCAGUGCAAUUGUAUUGUCAAAGCUUCCGUCGGUGAGCCCAUGCGAGAUUCCAUUGGAAGCUAUCAUCACUCGCCUUGGUCAAUCCACUGCUGGGUGAAGGCCUUCUGCCGCUACCACCAUCCUUCACGAUCCUGCCAUGCAACAAUCUCCUUGACAUGUGCGCACGAGCCGAUGUCAUUACCCCAAUCUCGGAUGAUGUUUUCUUGGACACACUCCUCUCCUUGGUGGUCACUCCCAUUAUUUUUGAACCAUCUGCCAUCAUGCCUUCAUGGUCAACGCGGUUCUACCAUGGCCCCCCUGAAAGCUAAACUUCUACAUUAUGUUUUGCACAGCUUCGCUGUGUUUGUGGGCACCUCUUGCUUAUACUAUUUCUGAUUAGUAGGCCAUAAUCCUGCUGAUUAGACUCAAUAGUCAAAAUUAGGCAAAUUUUGUGUAAACAAGCUUUUGGAUAACUGGUCCAGAAGGCACGAUGUUUGAUUGAUGAAGACCCUACUCUACUUAUUGUUAAUAUAACAGCAGCUGUUUCACAUUUUCCAUGGUGGUAAUGUUAUGGUACAAAAACGAGCAUAUAUCAUGAUGUGCAGAAUUAUUGCCACCGGUAAGGCAAAUUUGAUCUGGUAUGCAGAAAAAAACCUGAUGAGGUGGAGAGAAUGAAACCACGGUAAAAGUCGUCUAUAAUCUCCCAUACAAUGCGAACAUCUUGUUGAGCAUGUGAGUAUAUUUGAUCCCAUAUUAAAACUUGUAAAAGGCAUUGUAAUUGCAGUUAUGAGUGAUUAUUUUCUCAUCCCUUGCACCAAGGCAGACAACUCGCACACGUGGGCUAUGUUACAAUAUCAGCUGCCAUGUCACGGAGUGUGACAUGAACACUGUGCCAGGCUAGGUGUAAUAGCGAAAGUUUACUGGAUGGUGAUGGGACAGGUCUAUCGUCAGAUAACCCAGGCCUUUAGUGUUUGACGUGAAAAUAUUGAGUUUUAAAUGGGAAAAAUAAAAAAAACAAGUUUCA